rnacentral:tRNA from 1 species
GGGGGACGUGGCCAAAUGGAUUAAGGGAGUGGAUUGGGAAUCCACCAUGCGCGGA